AAGCUAGCAAGAGACAACAGCGAGCACAAAGCUUAUAAGUAACUCCUUUUCCUUCUAUGUAUGUACAGCUCCCUUAAAAGUAUUCUAGUGUGUUAUUAGGAGACUACAAAAUAAGAUAUUCUCCACAAAAAGGAACAAUCUCAAACCAAUGCAAAUAGAAGGAAGUGGGGAAGAGAGCGAAAUGUAUUCUGCAAAUGCUACACUAUGUGAUGAACCAUAUACAGCUGUCCAAUUUGUGAGAAAAAUCCUCCAACUGCUUCAUUACUGUCUUGUCGGAAACGAAUUGCACGGGCCCUACAGGAGAGAGAAGGAGUCUUUAAGAACAACAGACUUGGCAGCAAAUGAAUGAUAAUAAAAAAGAAAGCAGAUCUGAACAGAAUCCGAAAUGUUAAACAGCAUUUACUGUACACUUUAUCAAUUAAAAAUGAGGAAAAAAACCCCAAACCCAUUGAUUUCUAGUACUAAGUAGUUAAAAGAUACCUACAUCUUGUUAGAAUGUGUUAAAAUUUGAGGCCUACGGUUUCAUCAGGCUGUGCAUUAAUCACUGUCUUUAAGAUUAGAUGCAUUAUAAUCAUAACUGCUUGAACAGUAUACAGCUCUCAAACUAAAACCUUGGGCUUCUCUCAUCUCGCCUUUGUCACACUCAUUUACCACAGAUCUUCUGGUUGCAGAAUAUAGUUUUUUUUUCCUCACACGGAUCUCUGUUUUGUGACAGUUCAUGAUUUGUUGUGUGAGAAAGAUCAGUAUAUUUUAAAAUUAUAGAUCUAUUUCACCUUCUAGAACAGACUGGCUACUAUUGUAGAUAUGCCUAUUGUGUAAAAAUUUGAAAUUCAAUUUAAUGGAAAAUUACUGUAAUAAAAGAAAUCAUACCAAUCACAAUGGCUUAACUAAAAAUCCAAGUCCUCGCCUUUGCCAAAAUAAUUGAAAAUACUCCAAGUUAGUUAACUAUCAACCACAAGAACUGCACGAACUUACUGAGUGUGAACUGGAAGAAACUUAUAUUAGCGUUGAACAAGUCAAAAUUAGAAGCAUACACUCAAGAGGACACUGUCUCAAAUGUUUUUAACCUAUAUACUAGAAUACAAACGUGCAGCUCAACAAGUUUUCAAGAAGCAACUUGACUUUUAAAGAUUAAGAGAGUCAAGGCUUAGAAAACCUGAAAGAAAAAUAAGUCAACUUCUACUGGUGCUGAAGUUGUGGAAGAAGAACACACUCUUGAAGAGUUAACAGCAUCCUUCAAUGAGCAGUGCUUUCUACUCAAAAUAAAUUAUUUCUGCUGUAUGAUAUCAAACUAAAAGGGUUAUAUAAAAGAAAACCAAACCACUCAGCCCACAGUGUUGUUUGCACACAGAAUUCCUUUUCCUUUCCUCAAAGGAUACACUGAGGGUCAAAGAACUAUUUUACAAGAUGCUUGAGAACAGAAGCAGACCAUUAACUGGGUGCCUGAAAUGCUUCAGUACCAUUCUGUCACUUCCACUUCAUAUCUUUUAAACACACAUCUCUCAAAGAGAAAAACAGAAGUGCUAAGGUAGUACUUACCAGUAAUUUCCCCACUCAAUCAUAGUUCCAGGCUACAAGAACAAAACAGACCGUUAAGACUGUAGCUUAAGAAAAACUGCAGUAUUUUGACUGUAUUCACAUUUUUUAUUUUUGACAGUAUUCACAUUUACAUAUGGAAAACACUAAUAAUAAAACCACUUCCUUCAAGUGAUAAGCAUAUUAUAAUCAUCUAUAAUUACUCAAUUUACUUACUAUACUAGUUCUUAGUCAUUUUCCAGGAGUCUCCCUCAAAUUAAAACACAGGAUUUCCAGCCCUUCACAGGAGACAUUAAUAUCUUGUUGGAGCCUGCCUUCAUUUUGGACCCCACACUUUGAGAGCAACAAUGACUCAGCCAUCAGCUUUGAUAAGAACCAGGUUUUUAAGACGAUGUCUGUUUUCCAUCCACGUUGUACAAACACUCUUUGAACAUUUCAUGACAUCAUAUAGCUUAAAAAAUACAAAAAACUGAAACUUACUCUAAGUUGAUAGGAUCUCAGUUCAUAAAUAUUCGGCCCCUCUCUGGGAACAGGUUCAUUCCAGAAGCUGAAUUCCAACAGUAAUUGGUUCUUGCGAGACAGAAGCAUGUUACCUCUUUCUUUGCGAAACUCUGUGAACUCCUUAAAAACAAUGUGGUCAUUGUCAAACUGUAUAUUAUGUUUCAACAACAACAACAACAAAAAAAACAGAGUACAUCCCCUACAGUGGUUUAGAUUUUUCACUACUACACUGAGGUUUUGGACACUGAAAUUCUUUAAAUUGCAAAGGCAUCCAGAUUCCCUUGGCAUCUUUGAAAACUUCAGCUGGCGCUUUUAUAGAGCAUCUGAGAAUCUCUAACGUUAAGACUCAGUAUUUCUGAAUCUGAAUCUCUUCCAAUCUGUUUCUAAGCUUGCACAGAAAGUGAUACGUAAAAGCAGGUGUCCAAACGUACACUGUUUUGAUCUAUUCCACGUUAUUUUCUUUAACCAUCUGUAGCAAAAUCCAAAAGUUUUACCUUAUUUUGACGGAGUUUACUCAUGACCUCAUUGAGAGCUGGAUAGCCUCCCUCAUACCUCCACAGAUGAACUGAAACAGAAAUAGGAAGUAUUUUCAUGGAUGUUGUGUGCAAACUGCAAAACUUAUGGAAUAUCACAGUACGAAAUGCUUUUCAUACAGCAGAAUUACACAGUAAUACAAGUCAUGUAACAGGUUUUAACAAGAUUUUCAUUAAAGAAAGCACUACGCAUUUGAACACUUGAACAGAAUCAUCUGCUUUUUGGAAAGUGCUCUUUCAAAAAUUUUACAGUUUAAUCUGAGGAUAAGAGGAAGAUUUCUAAGAGGAGGUUUUGUUGCCAUGCUAGUGAAGUGUGAUGACUUUACAUGACUGUAAUUUAAAAUGAGAUUCAAUUGAAGAGGCCGACUUAAUUCAUAAAGAUGUUUUAAAACUAUUUCAUCUAAGAGCAGGGGAGUAGUAGACUUUAGUUUAGCAAGUUACGCAAGCAAAAAGAGCAUAAGAAACUUUCAGCAGGACACACAAAAAAAUGAUGCAAAUGUUAUUUUUGUAAUAAAGGUUUAAUUAAAAAAAGCAUACCAGAAUUGAUCUAAAUGUGCUACAACUGUUACAUUUUUGCUAGGAUUUUCCCCAUAAAAACAUAAAAAUUUCAGAAUAGGUAUUUGCAUUUGACAGACUUUUCAAAGUAUUCUCUCUUUAAUAAGGCAUACUAAAUGGCUCUAAUAAAUCCUAACUAGAUUUAUUUACAAGCACUUAAUAAAGCAAGGCAAUAAUAUUUCAACUCAGUCAGAAAAGCAAUUUGCUCUCCUACACAGAAGUCCUGAGCCUUUUUCAGGAGUGCAAACUCGAGACUAAUGAAUAAAGCACUUCACUGCAACAGCAGAUUCAUCCAGUAUGCCUGCUUCUAUUGCCUAAUCCCCAGGGCAAAUUUGAUAUAUCCAGACAGUAUUAACACAGCCUGAGCACAAGUACUGAACAAGAAAAAAACCCAUAAUCUGCUUUAUUAUACUGCCAGAACUGUUGCAAUAACAUUUUCAAGCCAAGCUAUGGAUGCAAUUACAGAUAUAGUCUGUGUUAAUACAUUACAAAAACAAUGAAUGAGAUUUGACUAAGCAUUCUCAUUUCAAUUAUUGCCCGCUUUCCCUUCAACUUUAAGAAUUCUUUCUCAGAUACUGUUUGGUUUAUCUACAGUUAUUUCCUCACAUUUGUGCAGUGUCAAUAUUCCAAUAAGCUGUGAAUGCAGGAAAAAUUACUGGGUAUAUUGAAACACUGAAACACAGAACAGCUUGGAUUGGAAGAUCAUCUAGUUCCAACCACCCUGCUGUGCACAGGGCUUCUUGGAUAACAAAGCAGUGACACUGACACUAGCACAGCUCUGAUCACAGAGCUUCUACCACAAAACAAGCAUUGGCACACCACUCUGUAUGUGUGGUUUCCCAUUCUUUCCUUUUCCCCAGAGCCCAGGAAAUUGUUCAGGUUUUCUUUCUGCACAAGUCUCUUUGCAGUUACCUCUGUAGCAGCUCUUCAGUGCUUUCUAGUUCAAUGUAUUUUCAAUCUGCACUGUUAGGUGGUAUCCUUAUAAGAACAUGAACAGAAAACCCCCAGUAAAGAUUUAGAUUAUUGUGAGUUUACAAUGCAAUCCUUUUUUCAGAUGGCAUGUAUGAUUUGCAUUUCAUUAUCAUAUAGCAGUUGCAGAAUGAAAGUCUGAGUAAAGCUUUUUAUUUUUUUAUUUUUUGGCUUAUAAGCCAACACAACUCUGUCUGUGUAAGCCUUUGCCUUUGGCUUAAGUAUUCAGGAACACAAUCUGUGCCUGCAAAACAUUACAGGAGCAAAUUUGACCAGGGUUUCUCCAAUUGUUAAUUUACCACCUGGAAAACAGGAAAGUAUUAACGAGAGGACAAACUUUAGGAAUUAAAAGCUUCACUGUGAAACUCAACGAGACAAAAAGCAAGCACUGCAAAUGUUAAUAUGACUACCAAUAACCGAUGCACACACAUCCUCACUGUAUACAUUGCUAAAGGUUUACUAUCAACAGAGAUGAUUUAAAGAGAAGAAACCUGCCAAGCACACGUUUCACUUGUAUGGUUUUACAUUCUGUUGUACUUCUAUCUCCUACCAGCCUGAUCUUGCUCUCCGUACCACGUGUUCCAAGUCCCCACCAGUGCACAUGGGUAGUGUUUUUCUUCAUGAAUCUUUGGCAGCACCUCUUGACUUGAAAACAAGGAAUACAGACACUAUGUUGCAUUUCCUUCAGGGAGGCUACAGUUGAUAUGUAUAACAAAUCACCACACGUUUAUCAUUAUGGCACGAAAAUUCACAAGCUCUAUGUUUCAGAAGAGAAAGCUGAAAUACAAGAAUCUGCUAUGCAAGAGGAAAGAUAGCUACAUAAAAAUAAGGAGUCAGCUUUAUACCCUGCACCACUGACUAUGAGAUCCAGAUGACAGGUUUCGAUCUUCAGAUACAAAGCUCUCUUCCAGUAUCAAAACUUUCUGACAAUUCCUCAAAGAAAAAAAAAUAGGAGAAGAAAAUAUCAACUUCUUUUGGUGGAAAAAAAUCUCAAAGAACACAAUUGUCUGUAUUGCACAAAAGGAAUUCACACCAGCAGCACUCCUCAGCAAUCAACAUUUGAGAACCUAACAAACUGGGAUACCCUGUGGAAGCAGAAUGGAAGAACUGAGAAGUAUUUCAGAGCACAGAAAUAGUAAGAACCAAAACAACCACAGCCAAGACAGUCUUCAAUGCUAAGAAGUAAUUGGUAAGUAUUUUGUUUUAUUUAUUGAAAACAGUGCUUUAUUUGACCCUAGACAAUCAUACAAACACAUUCCUGUGCAGUCACUCCUGCAUUCAUGAAGACAAUAACCCCCACCAACAAGAUCCUACAUGGCAGUUGGAGUGGGGGAGCAUACUAGCAUACAAGGAUCUAAUUGCAAUUGUAGAGCUAAGGAUGGGAAGGGAGCUAUGCCAACAAAGGGGCAUUCCAUGGUACAGCUGUUGCCAGAGGAGGGUGGUGCAGGAGCAGAGGUUUCUCUGAUCUCAGCUGAGGGAGAAGAGAGGCACAGGUGACAGCACAGCUGUGUUUUACACCUGCACCAGGUGCCACAGGAACGUACCAUGCCUCAGCUGAGGUCACACUGGAGAGCCCACCCAAUAAAGGCACACUCUUUUACAGCUCCUGUACAGUAAACACCAUUACCCACUGGACACAAAACCGCCUCCGACCUCCAGGAGGCAGGACUCCAUUUCAGCCCUGCAGUGCUUGUUCUUUCAUCUACAGGGAGAUAUGUACACUACUGACAUAUUCUCCCUUAAUUACUAAAUGCAAUUAGCAAACUAAUAUUCUGAGCACUCUUCUGCAAGGAAUGAAACAAAUACCUUAGGUGUUUAUGCAAUCUUUUGCUCAGGAAUUGUGAAGUUCCUUAUCAACAAUGACUAAUAAAUCACAACUAGCCAUCUAAAUGUUCACUUUACUUACAAUAAAGAAUGGUAACAGCUGAAGUUGAUUAAAACAGACACUCACUGUGUCUCACCUGAGAUGCUACAGCCUUCAUUUGCACCACCACAUCCCCUGAGAUACUCUACUGGUGUCCAUCUGGACACCCACAAACCAAGAUGCUCUGAGCUGACUGCCAGCUCACCUGCUUGGGCCACCUGUGCCUCAAGAAGAGCCAGGGACUUAAAUGACAGACUUGUUGUAAGCAUCAAAACGAAUCCACCACCCAAAAGAUCCACUUGUAAAUAACAUUAUGCUCCACAGCAUGAUCAAAUCAGUUCCAAGGAAAACAUUGGAUCCAUAUUACCUGAACACCGCUAAUGAAAUUACAAGUAAGUGCACAGAACGAACAUGUACACACUAUAGGGAAUUACCAUCACACUUCAUAACUUUUUAUUUUCUGGGAAUAAUGCUUAUUAAAGAGUUUUCAUGCAACCUU